GAUGAAGAACGUAGCGAAAUGCGAUAAGUAGUGUGAAUCGCAGAAUUCAGUGAAUCAUCGAAUCUUUGAACGCACAUUGCGCCCUUUGGUAUUCCUUAGGGCAUGCCUGUUCGAGCGUCAUUUAAACCUUCAAGCUAAGCUUGGUGUUGGGUGACUGUCCGCUUCACGGCGGACUCGCCUCAAAAUUAUUGGCGGCCGGUACAUUGGCUUCGAGCGCAGCAGAAACGCGAACUCGGGCCCGUCGUAUUGGCUCCCAGAAGCUAUCUUCACAAUUUUGACCUCGGAUCAGGUAGGGAUACCCGCUGAACUUAAGCAUAUCAAUAAGCGGAGGA
rnacentral:misc_RNA from 1 species